GAUGAACGCUGGCGGCGUGCCUAAUACAUGCAAGUCGAGCGAACGGACGAGAAGCUUGCUUCUCUGAUGUUAGCGGCGGACGGGUGAGUAACACGUGGAUAACCUACCUAUAAGACUGGGAUAACUUCGGGAAACCGGAGCUAAUACCGGAUAAUAUUUUGAACCGCAUGGUUCAAAAGUGAAAGACGGUCUUGCUGUCACUUAUAGAUGGAUCCGCGCUGCAUUAGCUAGUUGGUAAGGUAACGGCUUACCAAGGCAACGAUGCAUAGCCGACCUGAGAGGGUGAACGGCCACACUGGAACUGAGACACGGUACCGACUCCUACGGGAGGCAGCAGUAGGGAAUCUUCCGCAAUGGGCGAAAGCCUGACGGAGCAACGCCGCGUGAGUGAUGAAGGUCUUCGGAUCGUAAAACUAUGUUAUUAGGGAAGAACAUAUGUGUAAGUAACUGUGAACAUCUUGACGGUACCUAAUCAGAAAGCCACGGCUAACUACGUG
rnacentral:rRNA from 1 species